ACGAUGAAGAGUUUGAUCCUGGCUCAGGAUGAACGCUAGCGGCAGGCCUAACACAUGCAAGUCGAGGGGUAACAGGAAGUGCUUGCACUUUGCUGACGACCGGCGCACGGGUGCGUAACGCGUAUGCAAUCUACCUCUUACUGAGGGAUAGCCCAUGGAAACGUGGAUUAACACCUCAUGGUAUUUUAAAUUGGCAUCAAUUUAAGAUUAAAGGUUACGGUAAGAGAUGAGCAUGCGUCCUAUUAGCUAGAUGGUAAGGUAACGGCUUACCAUGGCAACGAUAGGUAGGGGUCCUGAGAGGGAGAUCCCCCACACUGGUACUGAGACACGGACCAGACUCCUACGGGAGGCAGCAGUGAGGAAUAUUGGACAAUGGGCGAGAGCCUGAUCCAGCCAUGCCGCGUGCAGGAAGACUGCCCUAUGGGUUGUAAACUGCUUUUGUAUAGGAAGAAACCUUUCCUCGUGAGGAAAAUUGACGGUACUAUACGAAUAAGGAUCGGCUAACUCCGUGCCAGCAGCCGCGGUAAUACGGAGGAUCCAAGCGUUAUCCGGAAUCAUUGGGUUUAAAGGGUCCGUAGGCGGGUUUAUAAGUCAGUGGUGAAAGUCUGCAGCUUAACUGUAGAACUGCCAUUGAUACUGUAGAUCUUGAAUCAUUAUGAAGUGGUUAGAAUGUGUAGUGUAGCGGUGAAAUGCAUAGAUAUUACACAGAAUACCGAUUGCGAAGGCAGAUCACUAAUAAUGUAUUGACGCUGAUGGACGAAAGCGUAGGUAGCGAACAGGAUUAGAUACCCUGGUAGUCUACGCCGUAAACGAUGGUUACUAGCUGUCCGGCCUAAUUGAGGGCUGGGUGGUUAAGCGAAAGUGAUAAGUAACCCACCUGGGGAGUACGUUCGCAAGAAUGAAACUCAAAGGAAUUGACGGGGGCCCGCACAAG
rnacentral:ncRNA from 1 species